ACUCAAAUGAAUUGACGGGGACCCGCACAACCGGUGGAGCGUGUGGUUCAAUUCGAGACAAAACGAAAAACCUCACCAGGGUUUGACAUAGUACCGUUUAUCCUUUUGGAAACUUUAGGAAAUCCCGCAAGGGAUGGUAUUACAGGUGCUGCAUGGCUGUCAUCAGUUCGUGCCGUGAGGUGUUCCCUUAAGUGGGGAAACGAACGCAACCCGCGCCAAAUGUUAAAUAUUCAUUUGGGACUGUCCCAGUUUUACUGGGAAGGAAGGAGCGGCAGAUGUCAAGUCAGCACGGCCCUUAUACCCUGGGCUACACACACACUACAAUGGCGAAAAACAACGUGUUGCAAGUACGCAAGUGCAAGCUAAUCACUCAAAUUUCGCCUCAGUUCAGAUUGGGGUCUGAAACCCGACCCCAUGAAGUCGGAAUCGGUAGUAAUCGCGGAUCAGCAAGCCGCGGUGAAUACGUUCUCGGGUCUUGUACACACCGCCCGU
rnacentral:rRNA from 1 species